rnacentral:lncRNA from 1 species
AUGGAAAGAAAAAGAGAGNNAGCGACAGGGGUGGAGAGAGAGAUGAGAGGAAGCGACAGGGGUGAGAGAGAGAGGAAGCGACAGGGGUGGAGAGAGAGAAGCGACAGGGUGGAGAGAGGAGAGAGAGGAAGCGACAGGGGGAGAAGAGAGAGAGGAAGCGACAGGGGUGGAGAGAGAGAGAGAGGAAGCAGACAGGGGUGGAGAGAGAGAGAGAGACAGGGAAGUGGAGAGAAGAGAGGGAGAAGAGACCAGGGGUGGAGAGAGAGAGAGAGAAGCGACAGGGGGUGGAGAGAGAGAGAGAAGAGACGGGAGGGAGAGAAGAGAGGAGGAAGAGACAGGUGUGGAGAGAGAGAGAGAGAAGAGACAGGGAUGGAGAAGAGACAGGGAGAGGAGAGAAAGGGAAGAGACAGGGUGGAGAGAGAGAGAGAGAGGAAGAGACAGGGUGGAGAGAGAGAGAGAGGAAGAGAAACAGGGAUGGAGAGAGCAGAGAGGAAAGAGACGGGAGAGAGAGAGGAGAGAGACAGGGGUGAGAGAGCAUAGGAAAGACAGGGAUAGAGAGACGAGGAAGGGACAGGGGUGGAGAGAGAGAAGAGGAAGAGACCAGGGGUGGAGAGAGAGGAAGAGACAGAGGGGAGAGAGAGAGGAAGAGACAGGGUGGAGAGAGAGGAGGAGCGAUCAGGGUGGGAGAGAGAGAGGAGAGACAGGAGAGGAAGGAGAGAGGGGAGAGAGAGAAGAGACAGGGAAGUGGGAGAGAGAGGAAGAGACAGGGAUGGAGAGAGAGAGAAAGAGACAGGGAUGGAGAGAGAGAAGAGAAGAGAGACAGGGAUGAGAGGAGAGAGAGAAGAGAGAUACGAGGAAUGGAGAGAGAGAGGGAAGAGACAAAAAAGGGAUGGAGAGAGAGGGAAGAGCAAGGGGGGAGAGAGAGAGGAAGAAGGCGACAAGGGAUGGAGAGAGAGAGAGGAAGCGACAGGAAGGAGAGAAUGAGAGGAAGAGACAGGAUGAGGAGAAGCGAGGAGAGAAGGGUGGAGAGAGAGUGCUAUGUAAGAAAGCUAACGUUUGAGUUCCUUGCUCAGAACAUGAGAACAUAUGAAAGCUGGUGGUUCCUUUUAACAUGAGUCUUCAAUAUUAGCAGGUAAGAAGUUUUAGGUUGUAGUUAUUAUAGGAAUUAUAGGACUAUUUCUCUCUAUACCAUUUGUAUUUCAUAUACCUUUGACUAUUGGAUGUUCUUAUAGGCACUUUAGUAUUGCCAGUGUAACAGUAUAGCUUCCGUACCUCUCCUCGCUCCUACCUGGGCUCGAACCAGGAACACAACGACAACAGCUACCCUCAAAGAGCGUUACCCAUGCAGAGCAAGGGGAAAAACUACUCCAAGUCUCAGAGCGAGUGACGUUUGAAACGCUAUUAGCGUGCACCCCGCUAACUAGCUAGCCAUUUCACAUCACAUCGUUACACCAGCUUAAUCUCGGGAGUUGAGAGGCUUGAAGUCAUAAACAGCGCAAUGCUUGACGCACAACGAAGAGCUGCUGGCAAAACGCACGAAAGUGCUGUUUGAAUGAAUGCUUAUGAGCCUGCUGGUGCCUACCAUCGCUCCGUCAGACUGCUCUAUCAAAUCAUAGACUUAAUUAUAACAUAAUAAAACACACAGAUAUGCGAGCCUUAGGUCAUAACUAUCAUCUCGAAAACAAGACAUUUAUUCUUUCAGUGAAAUACGGAACCGUUCCGUAUUUUAUCUAAUGGGUGGCAUCCAUCAGUCUAAAUAUUCCUGUUACAUUGCACAACCUUCAAUGUUAUGUCAUAAUUACGUAAAAUUCUGGUAAAUUAGUUCGCAAUGAGCCAGGCUGCCCAAACUGUUGCAAAUACCCUGACUCUGCGUGCAUUGAACGCAAGAGAAGUGACACAAUUUCACCUGGUUAAUAUUGCCUGCUAACCUGGAUUUCUUUUAGCUAAAUAUUCAGGUUUAAAAAUAUAUACUUCUGUGUAUUGAUUUUAAGAAAGGCAUUGAUGUUUAUGGUUAGGUGCACAUUGGAGCAACGACAUUCCUUUUUCGCAAAUGCGCACUGCAUCGAUUAUAUGCAUCGCAGGACACGCUAGAUAAACUCAUAUCAUCAACCAUGUGUAGUUAUAACUAGUGAUUAUGAUUGAUUAAGUUUAAUGAUAGCUAGCAACUUACCUUGACUUCUUACUGCAUUCACUCUAGGCGGGCUCCUCGUGAGGCAGGUGGUUAGAGCGUUGGACUAGUUAACUGUAAGGUUGCAAGAUUGAAUC